rnacentral:rRNA from 1 species
CCUACGGGGGGCUGCAGUGGGGAAUAUUGGGCAAUGGACGCAAGUCUGACCCAGCAACGCCGCGUGAAGGAAGAAGGCUUUCGGGUUGUAAACUUCUUUUAAGGGGUAAGUGCAGAAGACGGUGCCCCUUGAAUAAGCCACGGCUAACUACGUGCCAGCAGCCGCGGCAAUACGUAGGUGGCAAGCGUUGUCCGGAUUUACUGGGUGUAAAGGGCGUGCAGCCGGAGAGAAAAGUCAGAUGUGAAAGCCACGGGCUCAACCCGUGAACUGCAUUUGAAACUGUUUCCCUUGAGUGUCGGAGAGGUAAUCGGAAUGCCUUGUGUAGCGGUGAAAUGCGUAGAUAUAAGGAAGAACACCAGUGGCGAAGGCGGAUUACUGGACGAUAACUGACGGUGAGGCGCGAAAGCGUGGGGAGCAAACAGGAUUAGAUACCCGAGUAGUC